UACGGAGGAUCCGAGCGUUAUCCGGAUUUAUUGGGUUUAAAGGGUGCGCAGGCGGAAUAUUAAGUCGGCGGUGAAAGUUUGCAGCUUAACUGUAAAAUUGCCGUUGAUACUGGUAUUCUUGAGUGUAUAUGAAGUAGGCGGAAUUUGUAGUGUAGCGGUGAAAUGCAUAGAUAUUACAAGGAACUCCGAUUGCGAAGGCAGCUUACUAAAUUACAACUGACGCUUAGGCACGAAGGCGUGGGUAUCAAACAGGAUUAGAUACCCGCGUAGUCCCUGA
rnacentral:rRNA from 1 species